rnacentral:rRNA from 1 species
ACGCAAGUCUGAUGGAGCAACGCCGCGUGAGUGAAGAAGGUUUUCGGAUCGUAAAGCUCUGUUGUUGGUGAAGAAGGAUAGAGGUAGUAACUGGCCUUUAUUUGACGGUAAUCAACCAGAAAGUCACGGCUAACUACGUGCCAGCAGCCGCGGUAAAUACGUAGGUGGCAAGCGUUGUCCGGAUUUAUUGGGCGUAAAGCGAGCGCAGGCGGAAAAAUAAGUCUAAUGUGAAAGCCCUCGGCUUAACCGAGGAACUGCAUCGGAAACUGUUUUUCUUGAGUGCAGAAGAGGAGAGUGGAACUCCAUGUGUAGCGGUGGAAUGCGUAGAUAUAUGGAAGAACACCAGUGGCGAAGGCGGCUCUCUGGUCUGCAACUGACGCUGAGGCUCGAAAGCAUGGGUAGCGAACASNNUUAGAUACCCUGGUAGUCCAUGCCGUAAACGAUGAGUGCUAAGUGUUGGGAGGUUUCCGCCUCUCAGUGCUGCAGUAACGCAUUAAGCACUCCGCCUGGGGAGUACGACCGCAAGGUUGAAACUCAAAGGAAUUGACGGGGGCCCGCACAAGCGGUGG